rnacentral:rRNA from 1 species
AUCGACUAUGUCGACUAAAGUUCUAGGUAGAAUUAUGAUGAUGACAUUAUCUACUUAUGUGUCUUGACCAAAUCACGUGCCAGCAGUCGCGGCAAGACGUGGAAGACUAGUGUUAUUCAUCUUUAAAAGGUUUAAAGGGUACUUAGACGGUAAAUUAAGCCGACAAGGUACUAAUUUACUAGAGUUUUAUCUGAGAGAGCUCUGGAGAACUGACGAGUGUAGAGAUGAAAUUUUUUGAUACCGUUAUAGGAACAGGUAACGGCGAAAGCGACUCUUUAUGUAAAAACUGACGUUGAAGAACGAAGGCUUAGUAACCCAAACAGGAUUAGAUACCCUAGUAGGCUAAGCAGAAAAUUAUGAAUGUCAUAGAUAAGUUUCUUUGUUUAUAAAUGAAAGUGUAAACAUUCCACCUUGAGAGUAAUGUGGCAACACAGAAACCGAAAUCAUUAGACCGUUUCUGAAACCAGUAGUGAAGUAUGUUGUUUAAUUUGAUACUCCGCAAAAAACCUUACCACAAUUUGAAUAUUUUAUUUUUAUAAAAAAACGAGCGUUGCACGGCUGUCUGCAGUUAAUGUCGUGAGAUUUUGGUUAACUCCAUUAAAUUAACGUAAACCCUUACUUUAUUUUUAUCAUAAAGUAGUUCACCGCUAUAUUGGAUUUGAUAACAGGGGA